GACGUAGGGCGCGAGCGUUGUCCGGAUUGAUUGGGCGUAAAGAGCUCGUAGGCGGCUCGUUGCGUCGGCUGUGAAAACCCGCAGCUCAACUGUGGGCGUGCGGGCGAUACGGGCAGACUGGAGUACUGCAGGGGAGGACUGGAAUUCCUGGUGUAGCGGUGGAAUGCGCAGAUAUCAGGAGGAACACCGGUGGCGAAGGCGGGUCUCUGGGCAGUAACUGACGCUGAGGAGCGAAAGCGUGGGGAGCGAACAGG
rnacentral:rRNA from 1 species